rnacentral:SRP_RNA from 1 species
GAAGAAGCUAUAACUUUUUUUCUGGGGGAAUUUUUUUUUUUUUGGGACAGAGUCUCUGUCGCUCAGGCUGUAGUGCAGUGGUGUGAUCUCGGCUCACUGCAACCUUUGCCUCCUGGGUUCAGGCCAUUCUUUUGCUCCCUCCCGGGAGCGGGGGACCACCAGGUUGCUUAAGGAGGGGUGGACUGGCCCAGGUUGGAAACAUAGCAGGUCAAAACUCCCCUGCUGAUCAAUAGUGGGAUCACGCCUGUGAACAGUCACUGCACUCCAGCCUGAGCAACACAGCAAGACCCCAU